CAAUAGCGUAUAUUUAAGUUGCUGCAGUUAAAAAGCUCGUAGUUGGAUUUCGGGCGGGAAUGGCCGGUCCGCCGUUUCGGUGUGCACUUGCUACGCCCACCUUGCUGCCGGGGACGUGCUCUUGAGUUCACGCUCGGGACACGGAGUCGGCGAGGUUACUUUGAGUAAAUUAGAGUGUUCAAAGCAGGCCUACGCUCUGAAUACAUUAGCAUGGAAUAACACGAUAGGACUCUGGCCUAUCUUGUUGGUCUGUAGGACCGGAGUAAUGAUUAAGAGGGACAGUCGGGGGCAUUCGUAUUUCAUUGUCAGAGGUGAAAUUCUUGGAUUUAUGAAAGACGAACUACUGCGAAAGCAUUUGCCAAGGAUGUUUUCAUUAA
rnacentral:rRNA from 1 species